GUCCACGCCGUAAACGAUGUCGACUUGGAGGUUGUGCCCUUGAGGCGUGGCUUCCGGAGCUAACGCGUUAAGUCGACCGCCUGGGGAGUACGGCCGCAAGGUUAAAACUCAAAUGAAUUGACGGGGCCCGCACAAGCGGUGGAGCAUGUGGUUUAAUUCGAUGCAACGCGAAGAACCUUACCUGGCCUUGACAUCCACGGAAUUCGGCAGAGAUGCCUUAGUGCCUUCGGGAACCGUGAGACAGGUGCUGCAUGGCUGUCGU
rnacentral:rRNA from 1 species